GACGAACGCUGGCGGCGUGCUUAACACAUGCCAGUCGAACGGGAUUUCUGUGGAAUUUCUGUCUGGAAGGGAGAUGAAAUGAUAGUUGCGAACGGGGUAGUCACACGUGAGCAACCUACCUUACACAGGGGGAUAGGCGUUGUAAACGACAGUUAAUACCGCAUCAUAGCAGGGAAUGGCAUGAUAUGGGGGUCGAAGGUUUAUCGGUGUAAGAAGGGCUCGCGUCUGAGUAGCUAGUUGGAAGGGUAAAGGCCUACCAAGGCGACGAUCAGUAGCCGGGCGGAGAGGAUGACCGGUCACAUUGGAACUGAGACACGGUCCAAACUCCGACGGGAGGCAGCAGUGGGGAAUAUUGCACACUGGGGGGAACCGUGAUGCAGCGACGCCGCGUGAGAGAAGCAGGUUUUCGAAUAGUAAAGCCCUGUGCUAUGAGAAGAUAAUGACGGUAUCAGAGGAGGAAGCACCGGCUAAAUACGUG
rnacentral:rRNA from 1 species